GACGCUGAGGCACGAAAGCGUGGGGAUCAAACAGGAUUAGAUACCCUGGUAGUCCACGCAGUAAACGAUGAUGACUAAACCGCUGGGGAGUAAUUUUCAGUGGCCAAGCGAAAGCGAUAAGUCAUCCACCUGGGGAGUACGACCGCAAGGUUGAAACUCAAAGGAAUUGACGGGGGCCCGCACAAGCGGAGGAACAUGUGGUUUAAUUCGAUGCUACGCGAGGAACCUUACCCGGGCUUGAAAGUUAGCGACGGCGGAUGAAAGUCUGCUUCCCUUCGGGGCGCGAAACUAGGUGCUGCAUGGUUGUCGUCAGCUCGUGCCGUGAGGUGUCGGCUUAAGUGCCAUAACGAGCGCAACCCUUUUCUCCAGUUGCCAGCAAGUUGAGUUGGGGACUCUGGAGACACUGCCAUCGCAAGAUGUGAGGAAGGAUGGGAUGACGUCAAAUCAGCACGGCCCUUACGUCCGGGGCGACACACGUGCUACAAUGGGAGGGACAGAAAGCUGCGAAGCCGCGAGGCUGAGCCAAUCUCCAAACCUUCUCCCAGUUCGGAUCGGAGUCUGCAACCCGACUCCGUGAAGCUGGAUUCGCUAGUAAUCGCG
rnacentral:rRNA from 1 species